UGCGGCGCACGGGUGAGUAACACGUGACUGACCUACCUCGAGUGGGGAAUAACUUCGGGAAACCUGGGCUAAUACCGCAUAACCCACGGCAAAGGAGCGCUUGAGGAGGGGGUCGCGGCCGAUUAGUUAGUUGGCGGGGUAAUGGCCCACCAAGACGAUGAUCGGUAUCCGGCCUGAGAGGGCGCACGGACACACUGGAACUGAGACACGGUCCAGACUCCUACGGGAGGCAGCAGUGGGGAAUUUUGCGCAAUGGGGGAAACCCUGACGCAGCAACGCCGCGUGGAGGAUGAAGUCCUUCGGGACGUAAACUCCUUUCGAUCGGGACGAUUGACGGUACCGGAAGAAGAAGCCCCGGCUAACUUCGUGCCAGCAGCCGCGGUAAUACGAGGGGGGCGAGCGUUGUUCGGAAUUAUUGGGCGUAAAGGGUGCGUAAGCGGUUUGGUAAGUCUGAUGUGAAAUCUAUGGGCUCAACUCAUAGUCUGCAUCGGAAAC
rnacentral:rRNA from 1 species